GAUAUUUCAACAGUUGGUAGGAAAAAAUAUAGAAAAAUAUAAUAGAAUAAAAGAAGGAAGAAAAUUCAUAUUAUUAUUCCUUAUGAAAAAAGAAUAGAGAAAAAAAAAGAAAAAAAAGAAGAGAAAAGAGCAGAGAAAAUGACUGCAAAGAAGUUGUUUGAAAGUGAAUAAAGUGAUGAUUAAUUCAACUCCCGCAGUUCCUUUCAAUUCUCUUUUGUCCCUUUAAAUUUUAGCUU
rnacentral:lncRNA from 1 species